rnacentral:rRNA from 1 species
UACGAAGGGGGCUAGCGUUGCUCGGAAUUACUGGGCGUAAAGGGCGCGUAGGCGGCACUGUUAGUCAGGCGUGAAAGUCCUGGGCUCAACCUGGGAACUGCGCUUGAUACGGCAGAGCUAGAGGAUGGAAGAGGGUCGCGGAAUUCCCAGUGUAGAGGUGAAAUUCGUAGAUAUUGGGAAGAACACCGGUGGCGAAGGCGGCGACCUGGUCCAUUACUGACGCUGAGGCGCGAAAGCUAGGGUAGCAAACGGG